rnacentral:misc_RNA from 1 species
UUUUGCAUUAAAAAUGGCGAGCCAAGAAACAAAUAUCGACAAUUUCAUUGUCAAGUUGUUUGAAAUAGAGGCUAUAAAGUUUGGAACCUUUAAGCUGAAGUCUGGCAUAGAGUCUCCGGUUUACUUUGACUUGCGUGUGAUCGUCUCAUUUCCAGAUGUCAUGAAUCAAGUUGCUGCCCUGAUGUGGGAGGCCAUAGAAAGAAGUGGAUGCAAAUUCAAGUCAAUAUGUGGUGUUCCUUAUACUGCUUUACCUAUAGCAACGUGUAUCUGUGUCCAAAACAACUACCCGAUGUUGAUAAGGCGUAAAGAGGCAAAAGACUACGGCACACGACGUAUGAUUGAAGGUCGCUAUGACGACGGGGACAUUUGUCUUAUAGUAGAGGAUGUGGUCACUAGCGGCAGCUCUGUUCGAGAGACAGCUCAGUCACUACAAGCAGAAAAGGUCAAAGUAACAGAUGCUAUAGUUUUGCUGGACCGUGAACAAGGAGGAAAAACUGCUCUGGAGAGAGAGGGAAUCAAAUUAUACAGUGUUAUUACUCUGUCCCAAGUGUUGUCCACUCUCCAGCGAAUGAACAAACUGGACAGUGAUAUUGUAGAUAGGACCAUCCAAUUCAUACAGGAUAACAGGUUUGAUGGGCCUGCAGCUGACAGCAAGGCAAGCAACGGCUCAUCUAUUCAAAAGGUGAUGAGCCACAAAGAGCGUGCUGUGAAGUGCUGUCAUCCCUUGGUACGGUCUCUUUAUUCCAUCAUGAAUGACAAGGAAACCAACCUGUGCAUGUCUGUAGACUUUACCAGUAGUGAAGACCUUUUACAACUGGUGGACAAGGUAGGACCACAUGUGUGUCUUGUCAAGACACACAUCGACAUGUUAGAGGAUUUUACCACAGAUGUUACGCAACAGCUACAGAGGCUGGCACACAAACACAACUUCCUCAUAUUUGAAGAUAGGAAGUUUGGUGACAUUGGUAAGACGGUGCAUACUCAGUAUCAAGGUGGUAUGUACAAGAUAUCAAGCUGGGCACACAUCACAAACGCUCACCCGGUACCGGGGCCAGGGAUUGUCAGUGCUCUCGCAGAGGUUGGUAAGCCACUGGGACGUGGAUGUUUGAUGGUGGCCGAGAUGAGCUCAUCAGGAAAUCUUGCCACUGGGGAGUACACAAAAGCUGCUGUAAAGAUGGCCGAGACCAAUAAGGACUUUGUGAUUGGCUUUAUAUCCCAGUCCCGACUGUCGGCAGACCCUGACCUCGUACACAUGACACCUGGCAUCAAGAUCCAGAUGGGUGGGGACUCCCUGGGGCAGCAGUAUGUGACCCCAAAGAUGGCAAUCACAGAGAGGGGUGCAGACGUGAUUAUUGUUGGACGGGGUAUAACAGGGGUGUCAGACCCUGUCGGGGCUGCCAAGGAGUAUAAACAGGCGGGGUACUCUGCCUAUCUGAAUACCUUGAACCACUGAUCACCAGACCCAGUAUGUUAACCAGGAAUCUCUAAUGAUCGGAAUCCAUGAGUCGGACCACAAGUCUCUGAUGACUUUACGUGACGACAAUGAACCACUAAGGAUUUCAGGCACUGACCAUCUAUAGGAUGUAUAUGAAAAUGAAAACAUCAACAACUUUGUUAAUUAAUUUAGCUACCUUUGAUUCCAGUUGGUAAGCAUGCAGCAUUAUCAAUUAGUUUCCAGUGCAUAAUCUAGUGUUUUUGUAGUUGACUUUGACCUUUGAACUCUAAUAUGCAAACUGGGUCAUGCAAUAUGUAUAAAGUUCAAUCCAUUUUGAAAUGAAGCUGCUGGAGUGAUGUCAUUAAAUUGGUAGACUAAAUCCUGUAAACAGUAACAAUGACUUUUGAACUCUGAAAUAUGGAUGCAUUUGAUGUAUUUUCAUACUAAACCAUUUUUUAUAAAGUUUGAACAAAAUUUGUCUGGAAAUGAAGGCAUGGAGUGAUGACACUGAAUGCGAAAAUAGGUGGCUAGAUUAUAGAAGGCAAGACUGUAUUUCUAUAUUUUCUUUUGUUGUUUGAGGGCAUUUAUGUUGUGUUCAAUGUUAAGAUUGUACAGAGAGAAAGAGGAGAGUGCCAUAGUGGAGGUAUAUUGUUCACCAUUUUAAGCAGAAAAGUUUUGAAAAUUGUUCAGGAAUCAACAUUAAUGAUAAAUUGUUUAGUGAUGUUGUUGGGAAUCAAUCAUAUUUGGAGAGUUUAUUAUGUUCGCAGAAAAUGAUGAAGAGAGUAAGUCAAGGUUAAUAAUAUUUAUUCCGAUUCCAUUGACUAGGGAAAAACAAAAUUACCAAACAACAUAAAAUACCAUUUACGAAAGUGGAUAGCACUUGCUUAAAUGUAUGUAUAAGUUGUUUGAAAAUGGUUGCAAACAUAAUUAUACGCAGAAAUUGAUUGAAUUAUGUGUUAUAGUCAGAUAAAUCAUGUUAGUGAAGUGUACUCUACCUCACUUAUUUACACUGCAAUCAGAUGUGUUCAGAGUAUUUCGUAUGUCAUAAGUCAUGCCUUUAAAUUUAAUAUUUGAUUGUUUCCUUCAGGUUGUACAAACAUGGUAUGAUAGCUCACAGUUACUAGUCGUUAAGAAUGAUUGAAUCUCAUUAUUUAUUAAGGAUCCCUGUUCCACUGAAUGCAAAACACUAGAUAUUUCCACUUUAGUUUUUGUCUAGCUGCCACGAAGUAGCUGAAGUGAGACUAAGGUGUUGCUUUUCCGGGGACAGGGGCGUCAACAUUAAAUUAUUGCUUUCAAGUUAUUGUCUCUGAAACUAUUAGUGCUAGACCAACCUUACUUGCAACAUAGAUGCAUCUUAGGUAGUACAUCUAGACCCAUGCAUCAAAUGCUGGAUUGAUCUACCUUUUAUGGUCCAUUGACUUUGUCAGUUUCUCCAUCAAUAUUAAGUUUUUGCAUUUAAGUUAUUUUUCCUGAAACUUAAAGUGCUUGAACAACCAAACUUGACAUUUACAUUGAUGGUCAAAACAGGGCACAGGCAAGACAUAUCAAUCUGAAUGGCCUGUUUGUACAUACAGUUACCUUCCCUUAAUUCCAUUUUAGAUGUAACUGUAAUGCAUCUGGGUCUGCAGUGUACCACUGUGACCAAGUGGUCUGCAGUGUACCACUGUGACCAAGUUGCCUGCAGUGUACCACGGUGACCAAGUGGCCUGCAGUUUACCACGGUGACCAAGUGGCCUGCAGGUUACCGCUGUGACAAACUGGGUCUGCAGUGUACCACUGUGACCAAGUGGCCUGCAGUGUACCACGGUGACCAAGUGGCCUGCAGUGUACCACGGUGACCAAGUGGCCUGCAGGUUACCGCUGUGACCAAGUGGCCUGCAGGUUACCACGGUGACCAAGUGGCAUGCAGGGUACCAGGGUGACCAAGUGCCAUGCAGGGUACCACUGUGACCAACUGGGCCUGCAGGGUACCGCUGUGACCAAGUGGUCUGCAGGGUACCGCUGUGACCAAGUGGCCUGCAGUGUACCACUAUGACCAAGUGGCCUGCAGGAGUUUUGAAAGGUAUAUAUAGUUUACUUCUCAGAAAUGAUUCAUAAAAGCUAAAGUCAUGCUAGGAAAAAAGUGUAUAUUACUAUUUACACAGUGGCACAAGGAUCCUUAAUUAACAUAAGCCAUUCCACCAUUGCCUGCAAAUUGACAACGUUUGUAAGGGUUUGUGGUGUGGCAAAGUAUAUCCUCGAAUAGAAUAUUCAUAAAGUUAAAAUUGUUUAGUGCUACCUUAUUGAAAUGUAUGAUUCUGUAAAAAUAUGUUGUUGUUUUUGCCCGUAGUAUCAUAGGACAAUAAAAGGUAAG